UUCGGACCUCCAAUCAGUCAAGAUUACCCGCUGAAUUUAAGCAUAUAACUAAGCGGAGGAAAAGAAACUAACCAGGAUUCCCUCAGUAACGGCGAGUGAAGCGGGAAUAGCUCAGACUGAAAAUCUUCGGAAUUGUAGUCUGGAGAAGCGAAGUCAGCGAAAUCCACCGGCAAAGUCUUCUGGAACGGAGCACCAAGGAGGGUGAUAGUCCCGUCUAUGCCAGGUGGAUGGAGCGUACGACUCGCUUUCAAUGAGUCGAGUUGUUUGGGAUUGCAGCUCUAAGUGGGUGGUAAAUUCCAUCUAAAGCUAAAUAUUGGUGGGAGACCGAUAGCGAACAAGUACCGUGAGGGAAAGAUGAAAAGAACUUUGAAAAGAGAGUUAAACAGUACCUGAAAUUGCUGAAAUGGAACCGAUGGGAGGCAGUGUUGGCGUGCGAUCAUUUUGGAUAUCCCGCAUGCGGGGUGUUCGUGUGGCCGUGCGCAAGUCAGGCUUUCUUUGGUGAGCGGGAGAGGUCUCAAACCUGUGAGGGUUGAGGGUGCCGUCGCUUGCUGGAGGGACUUUGACGAAAUGCCUCUCAUC
rnacentral:rRNA from 1 species